rnacentral:rRNA from 1 species
UACGGAGGAUCCAAGCGUUAUCCGGAUUUAUUGGGUUUAAAGGGUGCGUAGGUGGCCUGGUAAGUCAGGGGUGAAAGACGGUAGCUUAACUAUCGCAGUGCCUUUGAUACUGCCGGGCUUGAAUAAACUAGAGGUAGGCGGAAUGUGACAAGUAGCGGUGAAAUGCAUAGAUAUGUCACAGAACACCGAUUGCGAAGGCAGCUUACUAUGGUUUGAUUGACACUGAGGCACGAAAGCGUGGGGAUCAAACAGG